rnacentral:rRNA from 1 species
AAUGGGUCAGCGACUUAUAUUCUGUAGCAAGGUUAACCGAAUAGGGGAGCCGAAGGGAAACCGAGUCUUAACUGGGCGUUAAGUUGCAGGGUAUAGACCCGAAACCCGGUGAUCUAGCCAUGGGCAGGUUGAAGGUUGGGUAACACUAACUGGAGGACCGAACCGACUAAUGUUGAAAAAUUAGCGGAUGACUUGUGGCUGGGGGUGAAAGGCCAAUCAAACCGGGAGAUAGCUGGUUCUCCCCGAAAGCUAUUUAGGUAGCGCCUCGUGAAUUCAUCUCCGGGGGUAGA